rnacentral:rRNA from 1 species
UACGUAGGGUGCGAGCGUUAAUCAGAAUUACUGGGCGUAAAGCGUGCGCAGGCGGUUCGUUAAGUCAGAUGUGAAAGCCCCGGGCUCAACCUGGGAACUGCAUUUGAAACUGGCGGGCUUGAGUAUGGCAGAGGGGGGUGGAAUUCCCGGUGUAGCGGUGAAAUGCGUAGAGAUCGGGAGGAACACCAGUGGCGAAGGCGGCUACCUGGACCAGCACUGACACUGAGGCACGAAAGCGUGGGGAGCAAACAGG